GGGGAGGCAGCAGUAGGGAAUAUUGGGCAAUGGGCGCAAGCCUGACCCAGCGACGCCGCGUGAGGGAUGAAGGUCUUCGGAUUGUAAACCUCUUUCAGUAGGGAAGAAGCGAAAGUGACGGUACCUAAAGAAGAAGCACCGGCUAACUAUGUGCCAGCAGCCGCGG
rnacentral:rRNA from 1 species